rnacentral:lncRNA from 1 species
GAGGCCAGAAUGAAAGAUGUUGAGAAUUGUAAAGGUACAAUUGAUAAAAAAUUUUACUUUUGAACUCAUGAAUACUUGUUGUGCAAUCCACAAGGUAUUUAUGAGGAAUAGGGAUCUCAACCUCACUAAAAAAUAUUAGUAUAUUUUUCGAUUUUCAUAUUUGAGGGCUAUGAAGUUCGAUAAAAUAAUGGGAGACACAAUUAGAUAAAAGUCCUAGUCUAGUUAUGAAUGUCU